GGUGCAUCAACAAAUGUCUCAGACAGCCAUACUGCAUAAUUGACGCUAUUUGUGCAACCAGAGAUGCCCCAACUACUUUUGGGAUGUUUUUCUCCAUUUCUAGUGUAACAUCUGCAAUCAGAGAGAUUUCCUUUGCUGCAAGAUUGACUAACUGCAUGGACAACUCCAGCAGAUGUGAUGGCAUGAACAAAAGCAGCUUCUUUACUGCCUAGGAAAACAGAAUUCGAAACAGCAAUUAAUUGAAGUCUUACUCACUCCAACCACUGAUGGURAACUACUUACCAGUACUUAAGACUUGUCCGAACACCGUGGGGUCUUUAUCUGAAGUUGUACAGUUCCAUCUUUCGAAUAGAAAUUGUUGCUUACAUUCCUGGAUUCCUAUCUCUGCGCCUUGGCUAACACUAGGAAUAACACCUGGUUUCAUCAUGCACAACCUAAGUUGCUGCGGCGAAAGGCCCGUGACACUUCUGCAUUGACUUGGAACAACUGAGUCUGUCCUAAUUCCUGAUGAAGCAACUCCCAUCCACCUUGAACAAUCAUAGCGCACAAGAUGUAAAAAUAAAUAAACAAGAUUACAAAAAGAAAUAUGUCAUGGAAGUUGCUCAUACUCCAAUCUACUUACAGCCAGGACGCUUCUGAAUGGGUUAAGAAUAGAAGCAAAGCCACUAUGCUCCUGUACAUCAUCUUCAAGUUCUCCAGUUGACAGAAACAUAAACAGGGUGACACCACAUAGUCCUUUGCCACCUGGAUUGGUACGAAUUUGCAAGGAUCUAAAACAGGUCCGCACUUCCUUCCACACCCUCUGACGGGGGUAACAUACCACCCACGAACGAAGUCAACAACUACAUCAUGACCCAACGCGAGUACUGAAUACGACAAAUAACUGGCCGGUAAGCAAUCAAUGGGAAACAGCCAGGCAAAGAGAACUAUUUGAUGUCUUUUAACUGUUUUUAUUCAAAGGAGGCCGCCYACGAUCACGUGUACCACGUCGGUAAUUAAGCAAUACCGAUUUGUUUGCUGAACAAGGAAAUAAUAAAUUCAGGCUUAAUUUGGUGAACACAGCCCUUUGUACAGGGUAAUUAACCGGCAUUUUUUCAGCAYAAACGAAUCAACGUAAUUUCAUUGUAGACUGUACUAUAUCAGAGUUGUAAGUUACGACUGGAUUUGACCUUAUUUUUAAUUUAAACAUUUACCAGUAAAGCGAAUUGAAUGAUACCUCCAAGUACUUCGUAAAAAUACAAAUUGUAUAAAACGAGACUCCUUUGUCUAGCCAGAGGAAUGUUUAAUAAACUUUUGUAAUUAAAACGCGAGUUACAUGAUAGACCGUUUUGGAAUGUUUAAUAAACUUUAGCUGAGUGAGCAGAAAGUGAUCCGUUUUUCGACAGCUAUGGAAUUU